UUUUUAUUUUCUGUUUUUUCCAUUUAAUCCCUUUAUUUUGUUUAAUUCAUAUUAAUUUCAUUUUUAAUCUAAAAAAUAUGGGACUUUCACCAAAAGUAUUUAAACAUUUUUCUCUUCCAUAUUCAGAAUUAAAAUUAUUUUUUGGAUUAAUUUUGAUAUUUUUAAUGAAUUAAAUGUUUUUGUGCAUAUUUUUAAUUGUUUAAAAAUACUUCUGACUUUUUAAAAAUUAUGAAUUUUUUUGUCUAAG
rnacentral:lncRNA from 1 species